rnacentral:rRNA from 1 species
UACGUAGGGUGCGAGCGUUAAUCGGAAUUACUGGGCGUAAAGCGUGCGCAGGCGGUUCGUUGUGUCGGCGGUGAAAGCCCCGGGCUUAACCUGGGAAUGGCCGUUGAAACUGGCGAACUGGAGUGUGGCAGAGGGGGGUGGAAUUCCGCGUGUAGCAGUGAAAUGCGUAGAGAUGCGGAGGAACACCGAUGGCGAAGGCAGCCCCCUGGACUAACACUGACGCUCAGGCACGAAAGCGUGGGGAGCAAACAGG